GACAGAGGGUGCAAACGUUGUUCGGAAUUACUGGGCGUAAAGCGCGUGUAGGCGGCUAUGCAAGUCGGAUGUGAAAGCCCUCGGCUCAACCGGGGAAGUGCACCCGAAACUGCAAGGCUAGAGUGUAGCAGAGGGGGGUAGAAUUCCACGUGUAGCAGUGAAAUGCGUAGAGAUGUGGAGGAAUACCAAUGGCGAAGGCAGCCCCCUGGGUUAACACUGACGCUCAUGCACGAAAGCGUGGGGAGCAAACAGG
rnacentral:rRNA from 1 species